CGUGGAUUGAUUCACGCUGAAUUUUGGGCUCGCUGACCUAGACAUUCGCUGAAUGUGGACUAUCAGGAUUGUCCCUUUGCACCUGUUGCUCCUUGUCCUUGGAGUAGCUUCCAGCUCCUCUUCCUGACACACUUCUUCCUGCUGCCUGUUAGGGUCCAGCUGGACUGUCCCCCGCUCUGUGAAGCUGGCUGCAGUUCCUGCUUCCCACCCUUUCCUCACCAUGCACAGAGGCAGUCCCUCUCUGGACUCCCGCUGCUCCUCCUUGCAGCCUUAUCUGCGGUCACUGUGUUUUCCUAGGAGGCUGACAGAUGUGAGAGUGAAGAUUUUGUCUCACUCAUCUUCAUAGGCUUUUCAGGACUCAGCUUAUACUGGCUCACAUCCAUGGGUGGGUGGAUUGUAAAUCUCUUGAAGGAACAUCUCUUUGAUUGGCUGGUUUGACUUCUUUUUAACAAAUAGCUUACUAGCUUUCCUCCUAGCCUUUCCUGGCUAGAUGCAGCCAGAUAUCUAACAGCAUUGAAAUGAUACGGAGCUGCCAGGUACAAAUACGUGCUUAAAAUAAAAUUAAGACCUGGCUUGGUGGUGCAUACCUGUAAUCCCAGCGGCUUGGGAGGCUGAGGCAAGAGAAUUGUGAGUUCAAAGCCAGCCUCAGCAAUGGCGAGGCCCUAAGCAACUCAGUGAGACCCUGUCUCUAAAUAAAAUACAAAAUAGGGCUGGGGAUGUGGUUUAGUGGUUGAGUACCCCUGAGUUCAAUCCCUGGUACCCCGCCCCUGCCCCAAAAAUUAAAACUUCUAGGUAGAAAUGUG
rnacentral:lncRNA from 1 species